GGUUUUACUGCUGAAUAAUUGAAGUUUUCUCUGUAGUGAUUGGACCUUGCAAUACAUCCAUUUUGUGUUAGCCUGAGUUGUUUAAAUCGAAACCCCUUCCAGGAAUCGUUCAGAUCCUAAACGUAGAUAAAGUUACUGAGCAUCUGGACAAUAUUUGAAAGAUCUUUAAGGAAAAUGGAGGACAGAAGAUAGUUAACAAAAUGUAAUUAAGGGAGGAUUCAGAUCUUAUUCUGACUUGUUUAAUCUGCCAUAGUGGAGGUUCCAUAUGUAGAUCAUAAUGGAUCAAAUAGCUUAAGGAAAAUGAUAUAGUCUUCAAGUAUAAGUCACAAUAAGCAAAAAAUUAUAAGAGGCAUUGUAUUUUAUGAGGAAAACAUUUUUAAUGCUUGAAUCUAAUGAGAGUGACGGGUUUGCUCAUCUUAAAAGCGUCAGACAAGAAUAUUUUGUCAUUCGCAUGACUCAAUGAUAAUAGGCUUGUAUAAGGUUUGGCCUCAAAUCCUUACCUUUGUCCCACUAGUUAUGGACGAGCUUGCAAGACUUAUUGAAGAUGAGGAUUCUAAGUGCAUUUUGUUUGAUAGUGAUAUAGUUUUGACUGAGGAGACAUUAUAUGGUAAGUCAGAAGUACUUUGGAAUCUAAAAGUCAUAUGCUCAUUUAUUAGUUGGAGAAGUAAGGAUUAUAGUGGAGUUAGGAACGAUAGAUUAUCAAGUUGUCUCAAAAAGUGAUUAUUUUUAGGUAUUUAGAUUUUAUUAUUGAAAAGGAAAGAAGGAUUGGAGAGAAGUUGUAAUGAUAAGAUUAGAGUGGGCUGCAUGAAAUGUUCGAAAGCUGCAAGAGUUAGAAAGAUUCCAUUAAGGUUAAAAGGCAAAAUCUACAUACCAGUUAUUAGACCAGCUAUGCUCAUAGCUCUUAUGUUCAUGAGAGGAUUGCAGUAGAAAUGAGGACGAAAGAUGGACGUGCAGCCAUUUAAGAUGGACAAAAAAUGAGCAUAUGCGUAAAUAAAGUGAAGGUGGGGCUGAUCGAGGAUAAUUUAAGGGAUUUUUAGCAGAAAUGAGGAUGCAAGUUGACAUACAGCCAUACUAAGAUGAAUAAUAAGAUAAAAAAUGAGAAUAUGUUUCUACAAGUUAAGGUAGAUGAUCGAGUAUAAAUUAAGUCAAACGAAGGUUUAGGUGGUUGGGUCAUGUUUUAGGGCAACCUAAAGAGGCCUCUAGUCAUAAGACUCAUGCGAUUUGGUUGAAUAGUUAGAAGAGGGAGGAGUAACUUGGUUUGUGCUAGUUGCUAAGGAUCUUGUUGAUUUAGAUCUCCCAUUAGAUCUAGCAAAGAACAUAACAGAAUGACAAAGAAGGAUUCACGUUUGUUGCUUAACCCUG
rnacentral:lncRNA from 1 species